UGAAGAUGAGGAACGUGAUAUGGGCCA
rnacentral:piRNA from 1 species